rnacentral:rRNA from 1 species
AUUGAACGCUGGCGGCAUGCCUUACACAUGCAAGUCGAACGGCAGCACGGGGCAACCUGGUGGCGAGUGGCGAACGGGUGAGUAAUGCAUCGGAACGUACCUUUCAGUGGGGGAUAACGUAGCGAAAGUUACGCUAAUACCGCAUAUUCUGUGAGCAGGAAAGCAGGGGAUCGCAAGACCUUGCGCUGAUUGAGCGGCCGAUGUCAGAUUAGCUAGUUGGUGAGGUAAAGGCUCACCAAGGCGACGAUCUGUAGCGGGUCUGAGGGGAUGAGCCGCCACACUGGAACUGAGACACGGUCCAGACUCCUACGGGAGGCAGCAGUGGGGAAUUUUGGACAAUGGGGGCAACCCUGAUCCAGCCAUGCCGCGUGAGUGAAGAAGGCCUUCGGGUUGUAAAGCUCUUUCGGCCGGGAAGAAAUCGCACGGGCUAAUACCCUGUGUGGAUGACGGUACCGGAAUAAGAAGCACCGGCUAACUACGUGCCAGCCGCCGCAGUAAAAC